GUGAGGUAACGGCUCACCAAGGCAUCGACGGGUAGCCGGCCUGAGAGGGUGAACGGCCACACUGGAACUGGGACACGGUCCAGACUCCUACGGGAGGCAGCAGUGAGGAAUCUUGCGCAAUGGGGGAAACCCUGACGCAGCGACGCCGCGUGCGGGAUGACGGCCCUAGGGUUGUAAACCGCUUUCAGCAGGGACGAAACUGACGGUACCUGCAGAAGAAGGCCCGGCCAACUACGUGCCAGCAGCCGCGGUAAUACGUAGGGGCCAAGCGUUGUCCGGAAUUAUUGGGCGUAAAGAGCUCGUAGGCGGUUUGGUGGGUCGGAUGUGAAAUCUCCACGCUCAACGUGGAGCGGCCAUCCGAUACUGCCAUGACUGGAGUCCGGUAGAGGAGUGUGGAAUUCCCGGUGUAGCGGUGAAAUGCGCAGAUAUCGGGAGGAACACCAGUAGCGAAGGCGACACUCUGGGCCGGUACUGACGCUGAGGAGCGAAAGCGUGGGGAGCGAACAGGAUUAGAUACCCUGGUAGUCCACGCCGUAAACGUUGGGCACUAGGUGUGGGGCUCUAUCGACGAGUUCCGUGCCGUAGCUAACGCAUUAAGUG
rnacentral:rRNA from 1 species